rnacentral:rRNA from 1 species
UAGCCGUAAACGAUACUCGCUAGGUGUCGGCCACGGUGCGACCGUUGUCGGUGCCGUAGGGAAGCCGUGAAGCGAGCCACCUGGGAAGUACGGCCGCAAGGCUGAAACUUAAAGGAAUUGGCGGGGGAGCACCGCAACGGGAGGAGCGUGCGGUUCAAUUGGAUUCAACGCCGGACAACUCACCAGGAGCGACGGUUACAUGAAGGCCAGGCUGAUGACCUUGCCGGAUUAGCUGAGAGGAGGUGCAUGGCGUAGUCGUGU